GAGACAACCCUAUAAAGCAGGACUUGCUUCAGUGGGGCUUUGGUGUCCACUGAGUCUGCCCCUUGAGUGUGUCACU
rnacentral:pre_miRNA from 1 species